GACGAACGCUGGCGGCGUGCUUAACACAUGCAAGUCGAGCGGUAAGGCCCUUUCGGGGGUACACGGGCGGCGAACGGGUGAGUAACACGUGGGUGACCUGCCCUCAGCUCUGGGAUAAGCCUGGGAAACCGGGUCUAAUACCGGAUAUGACUCCAUGACGCAUGUUGUGGGGUGGAAAGCCUUGUGCGGCUGAGGAUGGGCCCGCGGCCUAUCAGCUUGUUGGUGGGGUGAUGGCCACCAAGGCGACGACGGGUAGCCGGCCUGAGAGGGCGACCGGCCACACUGGGACUGAGACACGGCCCAGACUCCUACGGGAGGCAGCAGUGGGGAAUCUUGCGCAAUGGGCGAAAGCCUGACGCAGCGACGCCGCGUGAGGGAUGACGGCCU
rnacentral:rRNA from 1 species